rnacentral:rRNA from 1 species
ACGGGAGGCAGCAGUGGGGAAUAUUGCACAAUGGGCGCAAGCCUGAUGCAGCAACGCCGCGUGAGGGAAGACGGUUUUCGGAUUGUAAACCUCUGUCUUUGGUGACGAAGAAGUGACGGUAGCCAAGGAGGAAGCCACGGCUAACUACGUGCCAGCAGCCGCGGUAAUACGUAGGGGGCGAGCGUUAUCCGGAUUCAUUGGGCGUAAAGCGCGCGUAGGCGGCUGCCUAAGCGGAGUUUCUAAUCUUGGGGCUCAACCUCAAGCCGGACUCCGAACUGGGCGGCUCGAGUGCGGUAGGGGCAGGCGGAAUUCCACGUGUAGCGGUGAAAUGCGCAGAUAUGUGGAGGAACACCGAUGGCGAAGGCAGCCUGCUGGGCCGUCACUGACGCUGAGGCGCGAAAGCCGGGGGAGCGAACAGGAUUAGAUACCCUGGUA